UACGGAGGGUGCAAACGUUGCUCGGAAUCAUUGGGCGUAAAGCGCACGUAGGCGGUCCAGCAAGUCGGGUGUGAAAGCCCUCGGCUUAACCGAGGAAGUGCAUUCGAAACUACAGGACUUGAAUACUGGAGAGGAUCGCGGAAUUCCCGGUGUAGAGGUGAAAUUCGUAGAUAUCGGGAGGAACACCAGUGGCGAAGGCGGCGAUCUGGACAGAUAUUGACGCUGAUGCGCGAAAGCCAGGGGAGCAAACGGG
rnacentral:rRNA from 1 species